AACGAACGUUGGCGGCGCGCUUAACACAUGCAAGUCGCACGAGAAAGGGCGCAAGCCCCGGUACAGUGGCGCACGGGUGAUUAACGCGUGGGCAACCUACCCUUGAGUUGGGGAUAACCUUACCGAAAGGAGGGCUAAUACCGAAUAAGACCACGGACAGUACGCUGUUUGAGGUCAAAGCCGGCCUCUUCAUGAAAGCUGGCGCUUAAGGAUGGGCCCGCGUCCCCUCAGGUAGUUGGCAGGGUAAAAGCCUACCAAGCCUAAGACGGGUAGCUGGUCGUAGAGGAUGAUCAGCCACACUGGAACUGAGACACGGUCCAGACGCCUACGGGAGGCAGCAGUGGGGAAUCUUGCGCAAUGGGGGAAACCCUGACGCAGCGACGCCGCGUGGGUGAUGAAGGCCUUCGGGUUGUAAAGCCCUGUGGGGAGGGACGAAUAAGAGCAGGAUAACACUCUGCAUGAUGACGGUACCUCCUUAGCAAGCACCGGCUAACUCUGUGCCAGCAGCCGCAGUAAGAC
rnacentral:rRNA from 1 species